GUGCCAGCAGCCGCGGUAAUACGUAGGGGGCUAGCGUUGUCCGGAAUUACUGGGCGUAAAGGGCGCGCAGGCGGCUGGAUAAGUCACACGUGAAAUGCACUGGCUUAACCAGUGAAGGUCGUGUGAAACUGUCUGGCUUGAGUGCAGUAGAGGAAAGUGGAAUUCCUAGUGUAGCGGUGAUAUGCGUAGAUAUUAGGAGGAACACCAGUGGCGAAGGCGGCUUUCUGGGCUGCAACUGACGCUGAGGCGCGAAAGCUGGGGGAGCGAACGGGAUUAGAUACCCCGGUAGUCCCAGCCGUAAACGAUGAUCACUAGGUGUAGGAGGUAUCGACCCCUUCUGUGCCGAAGCAAACGCAUUAAGUGAUCCGCCUGGGGAGUACGUCCGCAAGGAUGAAACUCAAAUAAAUUGGCGG
rnacentral:rRNA from 1 species